rnacentral:tRNA from 1 species
GAAGGAUGGCCGAGUGGUUUAAGGCAGUUGUCUUGAAAACAACCGUAGUGCUCCUACCGAGGGUUCGAAUCCCUCUCCUUC